UACGUAGGGUGCGAGCGUUGCCCGGAUUUAUUGGGCGUAAAGGGCGCGCAGGCGGUACGGCACGUCCGUUGUGAAAUCGCUCGGCUCAACUGGGCGGGGUCAGCGGAUACGGCCGCACUUGAGCAAGCUAGGGGGCAAUGGAAUUCCCGGUGUAGUGGUGGAAUGCGUAGAUAUCGGGAGGAACACCAGUGGCGAAGGCGGUUGCCUGGAGCUUUGCUGACGCUGAGGCGCGAAGGCGUGGGGAGCGAUCCGG
rnacentral:rRNA from 1 species